rnacentral:tRNA from 1 species
GUCGGGAUAGCUCAGAUGGUAGAGCAGAG